GAUGAACGCUAGCUACAGGCUUAACACAUGCAAGUCGAGGGGCAUCAGGAAGAAAGCUUGCUUUCUUUGCUGGCGACCGGCGCACGGGUGAGUAACACGUAUCCAACCUGCCCUUUACUCGGGGAUAGCCUUUCGAAAGAAAGAUUAAUACCCGAUGGCAUAAUGAUUCCGCAUGGUUUCAUUAUUAAAGGAUUCCGGUAAAGGAUGGGGAUGCGUUCCAUUAGGUUGUUGGUGAGGUAACGGCUCACCAAGCUUUCGAUGGAUAGGGGUUCUGAGAGGAAGGUCCCCCACAUUGGAACUGAGACACGGUCCAAACUCCUACGGGAGGCAGCAGUGAGGAAUAUUGGUCAAUGGGCGCUAGCCUGAACCAGCCAAGUAGCGUGAAGGAUGAAGGCUCUAUGGGUCGUAAACUUCUUUUAUAUAAGAAUAAAGUGCAGUAUGUAUACUGUUUUGUACGUAUUAUAUGAAUAAGGAUCGGCUAACUCCGUGCCAGCAGCCGCGGUAAUACGGAGGAUCCGAGCGUUAUCCGGAUUUAUUGGGUUUAAAGGGAGCGUAGGUGGACUGGUAAGUCAGUUGUGAAAGUUUGCGGCUCAACCGUAAAAUUGCAGUUGAUACUGUCAGUCUUGAGUACAGUAGAGGUGGGCGGAAUUCGUGGUGUAGCGGUGAAAUGCUUAGAUAUCACGAAGAACUCCGAUUGCGAAGGCAGCUCACUGGACUGCAACUGACACUGAUGCUCGAAAGUGUGGGUAUCAAACAGGAUUAGAUACCCUGGUAGUCCACACAGUAAACGAUGAAUACUCGCUGUUUGCGAUAUACAGUAAGCGGCCAAGCGAAAGCAUUAAGUAUUCCACCUGGGGAGUACGCCGGCAACGGUGAAACUCAAAGGAAUUGACGGGGGCCCGCACAAGCGGAGGAACAUGUGGUUUAAUUCGAUGAUACGCGAGGAACCUUACCCGGGCUUAAAUUGCAGUGGAAUGAUGUGGAAACAUGUCAGUGAGCAAUCACCGCUGCGAAGGUGCUGCAUGGUUGUCGUCAGCUCGUGCCGUGAGGUGUCGGCUUAAGUGCCAUAACGAGCGCAACCCUUAUCUUUAGUUACUAACAGGUUAUGCUGAGGACUCUAGAGAGACUGCCGUCGUAAGAUGUGAGGAAGGUGGGGAUGACGUCAAAUCAGCACGGCCCUUACGUCCGGGGCUACACACGUGUUACAAUGGGGGGUACAGAAGGCAGCUAGCGGGUGACCGUAUGCUAAUCCCAAAAGCCUCUCUCAGUUCGGAUCGAAGUCUGCAACCCGACUUCGUGAAGCUGGAUUCGCUAGUAAUCGCGCAUCAGCCACGGCGCGGUGAAUACGUUCCCGGGCCUUGUACACACCGCCCGUCAAGCCAUGGGAGCCGGGGGUACCUGAAGUACGUAACCGCAAGGAUCGUCCUAGGGUAAAACUGGUGACUGGGGCU
rnacentral:rRNA from 1 species